UAUUAAGAGAGUUUAGAACUUUAGUCUGUUCCUUCCAGGGUCAGCCAUCUGCACUAAAGACUGUGCCCUGGCUGGAGGGGUGAGUUAUCUAAAAGAAACCACCACAGCCCCAGAGUGACUGUUGACAAGGGCUGCUACCCCACAAGGAUACUGUGAUGCCAUGCCUGGCCAUGAGGCAGUGCAGGGUGGUCCUUUGGAAGAAAUGAACUCAAAGAUUGCCUACUUGGAACUUCUUCUUUUUUGGAUGGGAUAAGUAUUGCUGACAUCAUGAAGCACAAGUGAAGAAGAAGGAAGUGUCAGGAAUGCCACACACAGAGGAGAAAAGAAGAUGGAGGAAAAGGAAAGGAACUCUGGGCACAGUAACCAACCUCAAAUCAGGCCUCAGGUCAUGUAAUUAGACUGUAGGGGAAUCUCGAGCCUCUUAAUACCUUGAGCAGCGUGACUGCCCUGUCAUCAGGGUGCACGUCACCUCCCCCUGUCUUUGGAGGGGCAUUGAGCUCUUUGUUAAUCUGAGCAAUGUGACCGCUCUGUAUCUGGGGUCUGGGUCUCUGCCCUCUUGCUCAUUUGGCUUUACGCCGUGCUCUGCCCCAUUAGUCAGCGUGACAACCCUGUAAUUAGGGUCUAUGUCACAAGCCUCUCUAGGAUAGGACAUAUUGAGCUCUUUGGUACUUUGAGAGCUUGAGCUUCCUGUCAUU